GACAGAGGUGGCUAGCGUUGUUCGGAUUCAUUGGGUGUAAAGGGUGCGUAGGCGGUUUAGAAAGUCGGAUGUGAAAGCCCACAGCUCAACUGUGGAAUUGCAUCCGAAACUUCUAGACUCGAGUGCGAGAGAGGUGAAGGGAAUUCCCGGUGUAAGGGUGAAAUCUGCAGAGAUCGGGAGGAACACCAGUAGCGAAGGCGCUUCACUGGCUCGUAACUGACGCUGAGUGCACGAAGGCGUGGGGAGCAAACGGG
rnacentral:rRNA from 1 species